CUUGAAGCUCUCAGUCUAUCACUGGCCACCCAUUGACAGUAAUAGUAUACUCUUGGCCUAUCACUGACAGCCAUGGCAAAACCUUCCUGAUUACUACAGUGGCUGGAGAAGGACAGAGGAAACAAUGCUGACUGGCACAUAGGGGACAACUUGUAUACUAAGCAGCUCAAAAACAAUUUAAUCCUGUAAAGUAACAUGGCACCCACACAAUUUUGCCCCAUAAUCUUAUAGAAAUUAAGUUAUGGGAUGAGAGGAUUCCAUUGAAGAUACAAUAUAUACACCAAAACAACUUUAUCGUAAUGAAGCAGUUUUGGUGUAUAGUUCAUGCGCCAGC